rnacentral:rRNA from 1 species
CUCCCGUUUUGACCGCAACCCAUCUCUUUUAUCUUCUUCCUUGGAACUCCAUGAACCAUCCGCCGUCCUUUCCCCGGCGCCGGGCAUCCUUCUGCUUGUCUGACCGGUGUUAUUUUUGCUGCCUCCUCCGCGCGCUGGUCUACUUCUUCACGAUGACUAAUUCGGUACGGCGUCGCCGGAAAUCACCCAGCUUUCAGAGAACUAACUCUGAUGAAGGUGGUAGUCUGGACAUGAGUGAUAGUGAUGUCUCCUCUCAGUCAAAAUCUACAAGGAACAGCCGUAGAACAUCUCCUAAAAAGCUAAAAUCCGAAAUUAAGCAGAGCAUCAAUUGGAGAUGUGAUCCACAGAAGAUACGCGCCUUUAUGAAAGACCUAACUCCUGAACAGCUCAAAUGGAUAGAGGAAUUGGGAUUUGGAUCACUCAUCGAGAUGAUUGACUGCAAGUUACCAAGAAAGCUAACGAUAUGGCUUAUGUCAAAAGUUGACUGUGACAGCAAGUCUCUAGUAUUCAGAAACAGGAAGGUUUCUAUACUAGAAGCUGUUGAAAAUCUCCUCAAGUUACCAGCUCUUGAUAAAGAAGUUCCAAUGCCCAGGCCUGGUAGGGUUCGUGACAAGCCAUUCAGAGGUAAAACUGAAUUCAAGGCUGCUACAGCUGGUAGAGGAGAAUCACUAAACGAAGCGACAGCUAAGAUGUUAACGUACAAGCAGGAAGAAGACAAGGACAACUUUUGCAUAUGUUUCAUGGAAGUCAUUCUUUGCGCGUACUUAGCUCCAACAACAGGUUACCAAAUUAAUAGAAAUUACCUACUUGGAGCUUUGAAGGACUUGAGCGACAUCCCUCGUAUGAAUUGGUGUCGUUUUGCUACUGACUACCUGAUCGAGGGAAUUCGUGAGUCAAGGCAGAACAAAGUCCAGAACCUGAAUAUCGCCGGAUGCAUUCAUAUUCUACAUCUCAUAUAUGUGGAUCUACUAAAAUCAAAUUUAGUCAGCAUACCACAAGGUUACCCAAGGAUAAAAUACGUUGGCUCGCAAGUACUCAAUCAAAUAGAUCCUACUGGGAAAAAGAAGACGAAGGACCAUUGUCAGAUGUUUGAAAACUUCCUGGAUGAUGAAAAGUUAGCAAGGUUCCCACUUGCAGCAGAACCUGUUGAGGAUCUUAAUGAUACCGAAAAAUCAACACAUUCCACACCAACAGUUAGAGUGAAAUUAACUACUUCACCUUGCCAGGACAAACAAACAGUUCCUCCAAAGUUAUUACAAACUUCAAGAAAGUGUCAGGCCGAUAAUUCGACAGAUGAGACCUUGAUCAAACGCAUAAAGAAACUUGAAGAGCACUACAGAGCUGAGCGUCAGAAGUGGUCUACUCUCUUUGAACGCAAGCUUCACGAAAACAUCAAGAACUUGAAGUACAGAAAACCAAGGAAAUCGCAGCAUUGGUCCAGCAACAGAUUGAUAAGGCUCUGUUCCCGAUGAUUGAUAAUGCAGCUGCACCCAGUUCUCAUCACAAUGAUGAUCCAGUUUUGAACAAAGGAUCUAUAGGAAUAGAAAGUCCAUCGCACUCCAAUGUAGAUGACACUUUCCUGGUAUCUACCAAGUCAGCUGAAUUUGAUCACCAAACUAGCAGUCAUGUUGAUGAUAUCCCACAAAUGACAGGACGUACAACAUCAUCUCCAAGAUUCAUGGAUGCAACUGCUAUUCAUGAAUCUGGACUGGCCUCCAAUAUGGUGUUCACUGAAGGUGGAAAAGAUGAAAACUUCAUUCCUGCUUCGUCAUCAGUUGAAGAGAUUACUCAGUACGACCCUUUUGUUCCCCUUCCAUCUACUGAACAAGAUUUUACUCCAACCGAUCAUAUUGUUCAGUCUAAACUUGAUCCUUCUAAAGAUGAAUUUGUGCAAAGAAUUUGCAAUUCUGAAAAUCUGCAGUCUGAAAAACAUGCACCUUCUGCAGUAUGCGUCAAUUUUACAGAAUACACAAAAGAGAAUAUUCCUGCAAAUGGUGUAUCUGCGCCAAACAUAUAUUCAGUCCCAAAUGAGCCAACUCCUUCUAUAAUUACCAACAAUGUGGGUCAACAAGUCCAGUCACAGCCUGGUGAAACUUUGAGAAAUAGCAUGUCAAAUGAAAUGUCAAAUGAAGAUUCAUCAAUGAUGAAGAUUGUUGGUUCUGAGGUUCAACCUGACAUGUCUUCUGUUGUACCUUCUAAUACUAAUAUCAAUGACCCGGCUAAUCCGAAUACAGUUAAUCAGGUAGAUAGUAAUGCAUGUGCUCUUGAAUAUGCAAAUUAGGAAUCAUCACGUAUUGUUUUGCAUGAAGUACCUAGCCAACUCACUACAGAAGAAAUUGGUUAUGUAAUCAAAGAAACUGGCAUAAUUCCUGCAACCUCAACCCAACCUGCAUCUCAAGAAUUAGUUGAUACUCCGUCAGAUAUUCCUGCAUCCGAUGUUAUUCAGAAGCCAUUGGCUGAGCAAUUGGAGAAUCUUCAUCUGACCAAAAAUGACAUUCAAUCAAAGAAUUAUAUCAAAACUGCGCAUACUGAUGCCACUUCAAAAGAGGUUCAAAUUAUAUCUUCCCCACCUUUAUCCCUUGAGAUAGCUGGUGAUGUUUCAAUUAUGUGUGUGAGUCAGAUGAGUAGGGAAUAUGAUAAUAUGAAGGCCCCGGAAAAUAUCACUAUUCAUACAAAAGAACAUACUGGUGCAUCUCCCGUUCCUGGAAUAGAAAGAACUGCAGUUAAUGAGGAGGUUAUUCAACCUCAGCCCAUUGUUACGGAAAGUUUUGCUCAUCCACAGGCCAGCACCUUCGGUUCGGAUGUUUUGCAGAAAGACCAUUCAUACUUACCUGCUGAUAUCCCCAAACCAAGCAGCGAACCAGAAGCUAUCACUUUGCUGGACAAUUUGGUUGAGGCAGAGCACAACAACUCCGGUUUGACUCUUCUUCAAACCCACCAUUCAAACUUACCUGCUGCUCAGUCUAAACCAACAACUGAACCAACACCUAUCACUUUACCAAUAGCUCAAUCAUCACCAAUGGAAUGCCAAGAAAUGGCUCAAUCUGAUAAAGAAGAACUUGACAAGUGUGUCGAAAUGAUUCUCUUUAUGAGUUCGGACAUGCCCAGCAAUAUGAAUGAGAACCAAGAAAUUGCCUCCCAUGGAAUUGAGAACAACUUAGCCCUAAGUCAUCAUAUCAAGGAAGUGCUGACCGAAAACUUAGAACAAUCUUUUGCAUUAGCAGAAAUGCAGACUCAGUGCACUGCAGGAGACGUAGAAUCAUCAUCUUCUAUCAGUACACAAGAAGUCUUUGCAGACCCAUCCCAAAUUGAGCUAACUGGACAAAAUGAACAUGAAUCCGAGGACCAUCCCUCCGACAGUUCAAGUGAAGCUGUAAGCUCUGAGCGCACUGAAGACGAUGAUAUCUCAAAUUUUGGGCAGCAAGUUUCAGACUCACAUACUUGUCGUUUAACUCUAAGACACAACUUGAGAGAUGUACAGAUAGUUGACAUUGCGGAUGAACCUUCAUCUCCUAAAACAAUUGAUUGUAAGCACAUUCGUCAGCUUGAUGAUCCAUUAUCAGACGGAGAAAGUUUUGUUUAUGCUGGUAGCAUCAAUGAAUCCAUGAGGAGUAGAAAACAGCGUUAUCAGAAGAAAUAAGAGAUCGCUGAAGGUAUUUCUGAGCUCAUUAAGAAGAAGAAAUAUCCGGCCAAGAUGUUGAACGACGUUUACAACACUCUUGUCGCCAGAAACAAGUAUAGAGGUUUGCGUUCGACACGUCAUCGUGACGUGAAUGAUACCGGCGGUACAAAGAUAAGGAUAGGUCAAGCUUCUGUAACAGAAAGAGAGUUUGUACAAUGCCUAAUGCCAAAAGGAAAGAUGUGCCAAAACAUGAUGUGGUUAAUGUCUGUUGCAAUGAUGCAUGAUUGGGGAUCAAAGACCAAGGUUAUUUUGGACCAGACAAUUAUAGUAAGUAAUCUUUGUUCUUCAUAUGUUAUUUCCUUUCCAUUAUUAUUAUCUGACCAGUAUGCACUUUCAUUGGACUGAAUUGUUGAAAAAACCUACGAAACGUGGCCACACAUUACUAUGCAAGAAGCUUAGUAAGUUGUCACUUGAAAAUCUUGAGCAGCUAUACCUCCCGACACUAUUUGACAACCAUUGGAUAUUGGUUGUCAUUAACUUCACACAAAAUACAAUUGAAAUUUAUGACUCUAACAAGAAGGUAAAAGAAGGUGAAGACCCACACAAGGUUAUCUUGGACAACAUGUGUACCAAUCUGCAAGAAGCAUUGACUGCUAUUCUCAAUCAGAGUGCUAUCAAUUUUAUCCAUUUCCCAAGGAAGUAUUGCUAUGCUGGAAAGCAAACAAACAAUGAUGACUGCGGUUUCUGGGUUAUUAAAGUCCUAUUGUGUCACAAUGGCAAAGGGCUGGUCGGAAAUUACAAGUGGGAAAUGGAUGUCUUCCGGAAGGAAAUAUGUUACAUACUGGUUUAUCACCGCUUCAAUGAUCUCAACCCAAGAAGGCCUGCGAUCCAGAAGAUAGCAUCCUCCGUCCAGACAAUAGUCGAAUGAUUCCUCAACGGCGUCGUUUCCUGUACUUACCAUCCGCGCCUGGUUGCAACUUAUUUCAUAUGAUGUAGUACUUUAUCAAAAUGAACAAAUUUCAUUCAGUCGAACCGCCGUGAUGUAUGGUACUGAUAAACUUUGUAUGGUUAUUUCCUGCUUUUGGAACAAAAUACUUAUUGCUAUGAUGUAACCAAAUGACAGCUGAACGUUUUGCUGUUUUUAAGUUACUUCCUCUCAAUUUCUCUAUCAUCAGUAUAUUUGUUUUUACAGCUCUCAUUGAACUAUUCCCAAGACCAUUUCUGGUUAACA